AGUGAAUAGAUACCCGGGUAGUCCUAGCCGUAAACGAUACUCGCUAGGUGUCGGCCACGGUGCGACCGUUGUCGGUGCCGUAGGGAAAGCCGUGAAGCGAGCCACCUGGGAAGUACGGCCGCAAGGCUGAAACUUAAAGGAAUUGGCGGGGGAGCACCACAACGGGUGGAGCUUGCGGUUUAAUUGGAUUCAACGCCGGAAAUCUUACCGGGACCGACAGCAAUAUGAAGGCCAGGCUGAAGACUUUGCCGGAUUAGCUGAGAGGUGGUGCAUGGCCGUCGUCAGUUCGUACUGUGAAAGCAUCCUGUUGAGUCAGGCAACGAGCGAGACCCACGCCCACAGUUGCCAGCGUACUCUCCGGAGUGACGGGUACACUGUGGGGACCGCCGCUGCUAAAGCGGAGGAAGGAAUGGGCAACGGUAGGUCAGUAUGCCCCGAAUAUCCCGGGCUACACGCGAGCUACAAUGGUUGGUACAAUGGGUAUCUACCCCGAAGGGAUGGAAAUCUCCUAAAGCCAAUCUAGUUCGGAUUGAGGGCUGCAACUCGCCCUC
rnacentral:rRNA from 1 species